rnacentral:rRNA from 1 species
UGGGGAAUCUUGCACAAUGGGGGAAACCCUGAUGCAGCGACGCCGCGUGAACGAUGAAGCCCUUCGGGGUGUAAAGUUCUUUCGACGGGGACGAUAAUGACGGUACCCGGAGAAGAAGCUGCGGCUAACUACGUGCCAGCAGCCGCGGUAAUACGUAGGCAGCAAGCGUUGUUCGGAAUUACUGGGCGUAAAGAGUGCGUAGGUGGUUGGCCAAGUUUGGUGUGAAAUCUCCCGGCUUAACUGGGAGGGUGCGCCGAAAACUGGUUGACUAGAGUGUGGGAGAGGGACGUGGAAUUCCUGGUGUAGCGGUGAAAUGCGUAGAUAUCAGGAGGAACACCUGCGGUGUAGACGGCGUCCUGGACCAUGACUGACACUGAGGCACGAAAGCGUGGGGAGCAAAUA